rnacentral:lncRNA from 1 species
AAGGAGCUACGGAAGCGCCUCAACCUGGAGGAGUGGAUUUUAGAACAGCUCACGCGACUCUACGACUGCCAGGAGGAGGAGAUCCCGGAGCUCGAGAUAGAUGUGGAUGAACUUUUAGACAUGGAGAGUGAUGAUACCCGGGCUGCUAGGGUCAAGGAGCUGUUAGUUGACUGUUACAAACCCACUGAGGCCUUCAUCUCUGGCCUGCUGGACAAGAUCCCGGGCAUGCAGAAGCUGAGCACACCCCAGAAGAAGUGA